UGUAGAAAUAAAAGGAGCAGAUUAUGCGAGGGGAUGGGUCCACCUGGAGUGACGUGAGGAAUACCCAGAAGACCCCGUCCACCUCCUCCUGUUUAGAAGAUGUCUUUUGCUAUCCUGCUUUGAUGCCUGGAAUUUCAUCCUUCACCCAUUGCUGGGCCCACCCACAUAGUCUAAAGCCAAGAUCAGGACAGAGAGGGAGGGAGCUGUCCCCUGGCCACCCUGAUACCUGUUGUUGGAAAUCAACGAACAAACACAAACCCACUUUGCGUUCCGUGAGUGUGCAUGUAUGUUGGUCCCUAGGCGCUUUAGGACAAGAGGAGGGCCAGAAAGCUCUGCCCAUGCGUGGGGAGCAUGCUGGAUCUUCCUUCUAGCCACAGAAGAGGGCUAUGGUUUUUUAGACAUGCAUGGAUUCUCACAGCCACCACCACAGACAGUACAUGCAACAGUUCCAAUACUCCAGAGAACGCCCUCAUCUCUCCUCACCCCUGCCUUCUGGCAAGCAAUGAGCUGUUCUCUGUUCCUGCAUUUUUGCCUUUUCUAGAAUGCCAUAUAUAUGGAAUUAUAAAGAAUGUGCCCUUUUGGUACUGGCCUCUUUUGUUCAACAGAAUAAUACCUUUGAGAUUCGUCCACGCUAUUGUUUGAAUCAAGCGUGUUAACUUUUAUUGCUGAGUAGUAGCCCAUUGUGUAGAUACAUUACAAUUUUUUUAAAAAAAAUCUACCCCUGCUGCAGGACAUUUGGGUGUUUUCAGUUCUUGGUGAGGAUGAACAUUUGUGUGCAGAUUUUGUGUGGACUUAAAAUCUUGACUUCUUUAAAAUACCUAGAAGUGGUCAUUGCUGGGUCCUAUGUAUGUGAGAUCCCAAUUGUAAGUUUCCUCUCCUCUGACAACUAUGCCCCAUCCACAUGGUUCCUUUCUCUAACAUAUCACACUGACCACUGUGACGUCACUAAGACCUCCAAUUCACUGAGCCUGCCAUUUUUUUCAUUGAUCAUGAACCUAUUCAUUAUUUUCUUUCCUUCUCACACAACUUAGUGAUCCAUCAUAAUAGUCAUUCUACUGGAAACUUUCCUCACUCCCUUCAACAUACCCUCCUGGCUGAACCACAACCUGGUAAACUCAACUACCCACCCAUUCAGCCUCCAUUAGAGUAGAACAGUGUGGCUAGAAGAAAACACAGCUGUGCCACAGGCCAGUUCAUGACCGUAAAUCUCACCUGAGCUUCUGAUACUGAUCAUCGAUCAGUCUGACUUUCUAGUGACUAUUUCAUACUUGUAUCUCUUCAAACCUCUGACAGCCUCAUAUACCACUGAGGAACUAGCGAUCAGACUAGAGAUUGCUCAUUAUCCUCCCACCAUCAAUUCCACCUGACGGACUAAGGCUUUAUUCCCUUCUCUGCCUUCCCCCUUUUAAAACGAUGAGCUGUCCAUGCUUCUGUCUGAAGCCAGCCCCUCGAUGGUGCAGUGGAUUCCAUCUGUGUCCAUCCUACCUUUUCAAUCAUUUUCCUUCUGCAAUUAUCCCCUCUCCUGUCUUCAUCAACUUCUCUUUCUGCCAUUGCCAUAUAUACAUUUCCUAAUGUAGCGCAUCUUCAAAAAUAAUGUCCCUCCUGGCCUCCUAAAACCAAUAACUUUACAGUGGAGAAACCUGACAAACACCUCAGCCAGGUGAUCAAGGCGAUGAGUCAUGAUGGCGGAAUGUACCCUUGCUGUGAUGUGAGGAGGUGAUAAUGGCACUGUAUGUCUGUGGUCUUCCUUUCCAAAACCCAGAAAAACACCAGACAAAUCCAAAUGGAAGGAUGUUCUACAAGAUACUUCACUAGCACUCCUCAAA